AUGAGUCAGGGCUCCUGAAGGCAGUUAGUGUCCAGGUGAUAGGCCUGCUAGGGACAGUGGGAUCUGGAGGGCUGGGUCACUAGUGUCAGGAUACCGGGACCUGAAGGGUUCCUUAUUACGUAAGAGAGAGUGAGGCAGGGCCUAACCUCCCUGGUAGUUUAUACUAAAGACAGUGAUCUUUGUUUUAUGUGUAUCUUUGUUUCUGAGCUACCUGAAUAAAAGGUAUUUGUUGUUUUUGCACAAGCCUGGAGUCGGUCGUUGGUGGAAUUUUUGUAGCAGAGCACAUUCUAGCAAGUCUCCUGUUACAAAUGGCGCCUGAACAGGGACCCUUCUGCUAGUCGUGUCACACAUGGCAGAGGACCCAACAGCCGCAAGGUAGCGUCACACAUACCAGCGAACUCCAGACCAAGCUGAGCAUCAGUACCAGACCAAGGGUGUUGAGAGUAGUGGUUAAACCCAACCCCAAAAGCCCAUACACUGGAGACCUUUAUCAUCACGUCCCUGUGGACCUCACAGAGCUGCUACACAAGGGACCCUACUGCACGCUCUCCAUAUAUAACCAAUGUGUUCUGUCCUUGCUGACGCAUUUCUGCAACACUUCCCCAGUAUGGGCAAGCCUAAAUACUGUCCAACAUGGCACCAUAAUGAUUGACAUACAGUAGGUAACACCAGCAUCACACUGGAUGUUGAAACGUUGCUGGGAAGGACUAUAGCUCUUGGUUUUUCUGCCCACUUACCUCUUUCCCUAACAUCUGUACAGUAUGAAGCCAAAUCCCUGCUAAAGAAGGAUUGCGAAACGCGUCGGGUGACUUUCAGGAUAACUGUUUCUAUUUCUUAGUCCAUGACAGAAGUUUUCACAAGGGGGCUGGAGGCGCGCCACAAGGGUCACCCUUCUUACGUUUCAGAUCUUACACCGGCAUAUACUCACUAAAUGCAAUGGCCUGCACCCUAUUAGGCAGCAAGAUAUAUAACCAGCGUAUAUGUUUUAAUAGUUAUCAUAAUAAAGAUGUUUUAUACAUACUG